AAAAAAAAAAAACUACUCUCAACUCUCACCCUGUUGGAUGGUCGGAUUGCCUCGGCCGCCGCCGUCGCCGCCACCUCCCGUCCAUCCACGGUAUGUGCCGAAACGGGGCCGGGUGCUCAAGAGCAUCUUGAGGUCCAUCUUCUACUCUUGCAUGAAGUUUCUAUGGCUGGGGAGGCACCAAGGUCCGAUCUACCACCAUGAAGGAUAUCAGUAAGGACGAUAACAAUACCUUGUGAUCCCGGAAGAAGAUCUUUAACAAAUUUAUAAUUUUAUAUUGUUUCUAAAAUGAAGUUGCUGUUGUCUUAUAUAUCUACUUAUUUUUGUCAAUUCUGUAAUUGUUGAGUAUGAUGCUCUGGAAGGUAUAUCAUUUUGCUCCCCUUCUACUUUUGUCAAUUUUAUCGUUCUCACCGUUUUUGUUCCUCACAUAGAUUGUAGAUUCGGAGGAGGAAAAUUGGGUAAAGUAGUUAGCACGUAUUAGUGGAGCACCAAGUUGACAUGGAUCUGGAAG
rnacentral:lncRNA from 1 species